rnacentral:rRNA from 1 species
UACGUAGGGACCAAGCGUUGUCCGGAAUCAUUGGGCGUAAAGAGCUCGUAGGCGGUUUGUCGCGUCGGCUGUGAAAGCCCGGAGCUCAACUCCGGGUCUGCAGUCGAUACGGGCAGACUUGAGUGUUGCAGGGGAGACUGGAAUUCCUGGUGUAGCGAUGAAAUGCGCAGAUAUCAGGAGGAACACCGGUGGCGAAGGCGGGUCUCUGGGCAACAACUGACGCUGAGGAGCGAAAGCGUGGGGAGCGAACAGG